rnacentral:rRNA from 1 species
GAUGAACGCUGGCGGCGUGCUUAAUACAUGCAAGUCGAACGAGGGACUUCUGUCUUCGGAUGGAGGUUUCCUAGUGGCGAACGGGUGAGUAACGCGUUGGUGACCUGCCCCGAAGUGGGGGAUAACAGUUCGAAAGGACUGCUAAUACCUCAUGUGAUCAGCUGGAUUAGAUGCCUACUGAUUAAAGGCGAAAGCCGCUUUGGGAGGGGCCUGCGUCCCAUCAGCUAGUUGGUAGGGUAAUGGCCUACCAAGGCGAUGACGGGUAGGGGACCUGAGAGGGUGGCCCCCCACACUGGCACUGAAACACGGGCCAGACACCUACGGGUGGCAGCAGUAGGGAAUAUUGGACAAUGGGCGAAAGCCUGAUCCAGCAACGCCGCGUGCGCGAUGACGGCCUUCGGGUUGUAAAGCGCUUUUAGAGGAGAUGAGAAAGGACAGUAUCCUCAGAAUAAGCCUCGGCGAACUACGUG